rnacentral:snRNA from 1 species
AUACUUACCUGAUAGGAGAGAUACUGUGAUCAUUAAGGCAGUAUUCUCAUGGCGAGGCCUACCCAUUGCACUUCGGGGGGGAGGUUGACCUUUGCGAUUUCCCCAAAUGUAGGAAAGUCGACCGUGAAAUUUGUAAAAUGCAGGAGACGAUUGACCGGC